UGGGGAAUAUUGCACAAUGGGCGCAAGCCUGAUGCAGCCAUGCCGCGUGUGUGAAGAAGGCCUUCGGGUUGUAAAGCACUUUCAGCGAGGAGGAAGGUGGUGAGCUUAAUACGCUCAUCAAUUGACGUUACUCGCAGAAGAAGCACCGGCUAACUCCGUGCCAGCAGCCGCGGUAAUACGGAGGGUGCAAGCGUUAAUCGGAAUUACUGGGCGUAAAGCGCACGCAGGCGGUUUGUUAAGUCAGAUGUGAAAUCCCCGGGCUCAACCUGGGAACUGCAUUUGAAACUGGCAAGCUAGAGUCUCGUAGAGGGGGGUAGAAUUCCAGGUGUAGCGGUGAAAUGCGUAGAGAUCUGGAGGAAUACCGGUGGCGAAGGCGGCCCCCUGGACGAAGACUGACGCUCAGGUGCGAAAAGGCGUGGGGGAGCAAAACAGGAUUAGAUACCCUGGUAGUCCACGCUGUAAAACGAUGUCGAUUUUGGAGGUUGUGCCCCUUGAGGCGUGG
rnacentral:rRNA from 1 species